GACGAACGCUGGCGGCGUGCUUAACACAUGCAAGUCGAACGGAAAGGCCCUGCUUGCAGGGUACUCGAGUGGCGAACGGGUGAGUAACACGUGGGUGAUCUGCCCUGCACUUCGGGAUAAGCCUGGGAAACUGGGUCUAAUACCGGAUAGGAGCCAUUUUUAGUGUGAUGGUUGGAAAGUUUUUUCGGUGUAGGAUGAGCUCGCGGCCUAUCAGCUUGUUGGUGGGGUAAUGGCCUACCAAGGCGGCGACGGGUAGCCGGCCUGAGAGGGUGGACGGCCACAUUGGGACUGAGAUACGGCCCAGACUCCUACGGGAGGCAGCGGUGGGGAAUAUUGCACAAUUGGCGCAAGCCUGAUGCAGCGACGCCGCGUGGGGGAUGACGGCCUUCGGGUUGUAAACUCCUUUCGCUAGGGACGAAGCUUUUUGUGACGGUACCUAGAUAAGAAGCACCGGCUAACUACGUG
rnacentral:rRNA from 1 species